AGUUGUGCGGAUUAGACCCGAAACCGGGUGAUCUAUCCAUGAGCAGGUUGAAGCAAGGGUAAAGCCUUGUGGAGGACCGAACCAGUACUGGCUGAAAACAGUUUGGAUGACUUGUGGAUAGGGGUGAAAGGCCAAUCAAACCCGGUGAUAGCUGGUUCUCCCCGAAAUAUAUUGAGGUAUAGCCUUGCAGAUUGUCUGCCGGAGGUAAAGCACUGACAGAGCUAGGGGACCCACCCGUCUACCAACCUCUAUCAAACUCAGAAUACCGGUCAGAUGUACUGCAGGAGUCAGACGGCGGGUGCUAAGGUUCGUCGUCAAAAGGGUAACAGCCCAGACCGACAGCUAAGGCCUCCAAAUGCAUGCUCAGUGGUUAAGGUGGUGACGUUGUAGAGACACCCAGGACGUUGGCUUAGAAGCAGCCAUCGUUUAAAGAAAGCGUAAUAGCUCACUGGUCUAAUGACGUUGCGCCGAAAAUGUAACGGGGCUAAGCAUGCUGCCGAAGCUUCGGAUUUGUCGUAUGACAUCUGGUAGGGGAGCGUUCUCUGCGGAGUGAAGAUGGAUUGUGAAGUCUGUUGGACUGCAGAGAAGUGAUUAUGCUGACAUGAGUAACGAUAAAACAGGUGAAAAACCUGUUCGCCGUAAACCCAAGGUUUCCUGGGUCAAGGUAAUCUUCCCAGGGUUAGUCGGUUCCUAAGGCCAGGCUGAAAGGCGUAGCUAAUGGGAAACAAGUUAAUAGUCUUGUACUUGUAUGAAUGUGCGAUGAAGGGACGCAGGACGGUAGACAGGCCAGUUAGUGGAUUCUGGUUCAAGUAGGUAGGCAUGCUUCAUAGGCAAAUCCGUGAGGCUGAGCCGAGAUACGAUGUCGAGGUCGAAAGACCGUCAAGCUGUUGAGCCGCUGCUGCCAAGAAAAGCUUCUAAGUUUAGUUCAUGCAAACCGUACCGGAAACCAACUCAGGUGGGUGGGAUGAAUAAUCCAAGGCGCUCGAGAGAACUCUGGCCAAGGAACUCGGCAAAAUAACCCCGUAACUUCGGAAUAAGGGGUGCUCCUUCGGGUGAAGAAUUUACUUUGUAAGCCCGGAAGAGUCGCAGAAAAGAGGUGGGGGCAACUGUUUACUAAAAACAUAGGUCUGUGCGAAGUCUUACAGACGACGUAUACGGACUGACGCCUGCCCGGUGCCGGAAGGUUAAAAGGAGGAGUCAGCGCAAGCGAAGCCCCGAAUUGAAGCCCCGGUAAACGGCGGCCGUAACUAUAACGGUCCUAAGGUAGCGAAAUUCCUUGUCGGGUAAGUUCCGACCUGCACGAAUGGCGUAAUGAUCUCCACACUGUCUCGGCCAGAGACUCGGUGAAAUUGAAGUCGCGGUGAAAAUGCCGUGUACCCGCAGAAAGACGGAAAGACCCUGUGCACCUUUACUAUAGCUUGACAUUGGGUUUUGAGCCUGCAUGUGUAGGAUAGGUGGGAGACUGUGAACCCUGUACGCCAGUAUGGGGGGAGUCAUUGGUGAAAUACCACCCUUGUUUGUUCAGAGCCCUAACUCGCAGCUGUUACCCAGCGCGAGGACAGUGUCUGGUGGGUAGUUUGACUGGGGCGGUCGCCUCCUAAAGAGUAACGGAGGCAUGCAAAGGUUCCCUCAGGCUGAUUGGAAACCAGCCGUCGAGUGCAAACGCAUAAGGGAGCUUGACUGCAAGAGAGACAUCUCGAGCAGGUACGAAAGUAGGCGCUAGUGAUCCGGUGGUCCCGAAUGGAAGGGCCAUCGCUCAUUGGAUAAAAGGUACGCCGGGGAUAACAGGCUGAUCGCAUCCAAGAGUUCACAUCGACGAUGCGGUUUGGCACCUCGAUGUCGGCUCAUCACAUCCUGGGGCUGAAGCAGGUCCCAAGGGUACGGCUGUUCGCCGUUUAAAGUGGUACGCGAGCUGGGUUUAAAACGUCGUGAGACAGUUUGGUCCCUAUCUUCUGUGGGCGUAGGAGAAUUGAGAGGGUUUGACCCUAGUACGAGAGGACCGGGUUGAACGCACCACUGAUGGAUCUGUUGUCGCGCCAGCGGCAUGGCAGAGUAGUUAUGUGCGGAAGGGAUAACCGCUGAAAGCAUCUAAGCGGGAAGCCUGCCUCAAGAUAAGUUCUCCCUGACAUAAGUCCUGUAGGGCCGAGGAAGACUACCUCGUUGAUAGGCUGGAGGUGGAAGUGCCGUGAGGCAUGGAGCUGACCAGUACUAAUAGCCCGUGAGUCUUAUUCUU
rnacentral:ncRNA from 1 species